GGCUAAAGCGUACGCACACAUACACGCACGCACACGCACACAUACACGCACACACAGGCGCAGAGUCUGUCUCAUGCGCUGAGGAAAAGGGAGGCGGGCAAGAGCCCUUGCAUUCAAGCAACAGCAGCAGUCCUGCAGGACAUCUCUCGCGCGUAGCUUCUCUCAUUUCCUUCCGCACUGUGCGAGCAUACCCGUCAGUGCCUCCUUCCUCCCUAUCUACGUCUCUCUCUUCGUGUGUGUGUGUGUGUGUACUGGUGCCUCCCUCCCUACCCCUUCUCCCCCCCAAAAAACGCCUUUGCUGAGCUUCGGGCACGAGUCGGGACAUCUGCGCGCGCGGCACCGCCGCCGAAGGUCCUCCGGCACACCUCUUCGAUACUUCCUCUCACCCUCUUUUCCCUUUCUGUGUGUGUGUAUCAUUGGUGUGUGCGUGUGCGUGUGUCGUUGACAUCCGCCGUUACAACGCGCUCGCUCUCGCCCACACGCCCGCACGCACGCUUUUCGGAGAAAGCGCUGGAAAUGCCGGACACGCAUGGCGCUGUGAACCCGAAGGCGCUUUCACGGUUGGAUGCCCUUCCAGGCUCACUCGGCAAGGUGUCGCUGUGCGCGGCCGUCAUGCUCGGCAUCACCACCUACGCCAACGUACGGAAAUGGCUGGCACAGCGUGCCGCCGCCUCCGCGGCGGCGGAAGACGAGGCAGCGAUCUCCAAGUGGGGGCAGCGAAAGGGCGCGCCGAGGGAGGCAGCGUCGAGCAGUAAGGCAAAGGGAGCGGGUUCGUCCUCCGCUGGUGGCCGCACGAGUGCUGGUGGUGGUGGUGCUGGCAAUGACAGCGAGAUGGUGGUAGCGGGCAGCAGCGGCAGCGCUGGUGGGGUGGCAGCGACGGGGACGCGAACCCCCCCGGAGCGGCCUCAGCUGCCACCGCGAAACUACUUCACUGCUCGCGCCUCCAUGCACGUGAAGCGGCACAAUGCGAAGCUGAUGGAGUGGUACGACGCCCAGCUCGGCAUUCAGCUGCCCUUCUCCCCCGUCUUCGAGUUGAAGCAAGAGGAGCGGCAGGCGCCGCUGAUCCUGCUAACCUUCCGCACGGUGCGGGAGCCAACGCACCGCAUGGCGGUCACUAUCGAGGAGCUCUACGAGCCACAGACAGCGGCGGCGUAUAGAGAGGCUAGUCUCGGCCGGAUUGCCGACUGCGCCAAGAUUGUAGGACAAUCGACCGCGCGCAUUGGUAGCAAGGAUCACCCAGCAGCGGAGUACUGCUACGUCGAUGACCACCAGGUCAUGAACUGUGUCUUCUCCAUCUUCGUAGUACACGAGCGGCUCGCGGUGACGGUGCAGUACGUGGCCCCGACGCGCGUGCGCAGCGUGAUGCCGACAGCCGUCUACGACAUUGUGCGCUUCCUCGCCUUUGCCACGCCGUCUCCGUCGCCGUCGUACCUUCUCGUGUCUGAACCGCGGCUAGGCCUGGGGUACCACCUGCCCCUGGACUUCCUUGUCCACGAGGGCCUUGCGGAGAGCGACGGCGUCGAGGACCGCCUUUUCACCUCCUCUAUGACUGCCGGUGGUGGCGGGCUCCUGUCAACCUUUUCCGGCGGCAUCAAUGCACCCCAGCCGUACACACGAGGUACUGCAGGUGCGGACGGGGCCGCGUAUCCGCCCUACUGCCGUCCCUCCUACUACUACGUUGGCCACGGUGGCGGCGGCUGCGAUGAAGGCGCGUGGAUGGUGCCAUACGCAACGGCGAUGAGUCGUGGAGGUCGUCGCAUGGGACUCAUUGCUUCGUACGAGCCAGCGGGUGUCUCCACGGCGACGGGCACCCUCGACGGCGGCGGCGCGGCAGGUGCGACGGGUGGCAGCGGGGUCCCGUAUGCAUGGCAAACGUACCUCGAACAGCAGGUGUGCAAGGCUGUGCGCCAGUUGGGCCUCGUGCUCGGCAGCAGCGAUGACAACCGUGCACCGCACGUCGUCUUUCAGGCCCCCAACGCCGCGCACCCGCCUUCGCGCCAGACGUUGCUGGUAGAGCCGUACCCGCUGUCGAUCGCGCUCAAGGGGAACUUCAGCGCUGGUGACGACGCCCGCGAGGAGGACAGCGACGCAGUGGCGCUCGUCACCGCCUUCUCCCUCUUCCGCGAAGUGCGCGUGGACGUUAACAGUGCCUAUCUGACCCUCGUCCCGGACGCAUUAGAGAGCGCUGCUGCUGCGGCGGCCGCUGCUCGCUCGCGGUCUUCCACGGGGGUGGCUGACUUGACUGCUGGCACGGUCAAGGCGUACUGGAGCGCCUUCUACGUGCCCGUCGGCACGGCAUGCGUGAGUUUCCAUUUCAUUGCCUCGGCGCUGCGGCACACCUCCACGGAGUUUGUUUCGUUUUGCGCCACCGUCAUGAACUCUGUGUCGCUCGGCAACCACUACGGCCAGAGCGUGUCGGUGCUGUACUGCAAUAUCCGGCAUGACGUGCUGCCCUUCCGUCUGUCGCUGCCGCCGACUGGGAUGGCGACUGUCGAGGAGCCCAUGCUGGCUGAUCCGCUCUGUGUGGUGCAGGCCACGUACGGGGUGGAGAAGGUCGGCGUGACAGUGCGCGUCUUUCCGCUCUUCACGUCUACCACGUCACCGGUAGAGGACGGCAGCAGUGGCGGCGGUGGUACUGGCUUUGCUGCGGCCACGGCAACGACGGACGGCCGGCCUCCAACGCCGUCCAAGGCGCUCCCGCCGCGCCCCAUUGCAGAGCGCCGAGGUACUCGUCAGCGCUCCAUCUUCCGACAACUGCAGCACAUGAUCCGCUACUACCUUGCUCAGUUCCCUGGCGGCGUGCACAUUGUGUCACAGGAGCGCACUACGAUGAACGCGAUGCCGGCCGUCCGUGUGUGCUUCAAGCCUCUGUGGUACGCGGGGGACAUUGGGGACGGAGGCGCGCAACGCAUCGGCGGGGGUAGCGGCAGCGCCGUGCCACCGGCGCCCUCUGUGACCAGCUGGGACGAGGGUUGUGGCGUUGGUGGUGGCGGUGGCAGCUCGCAGGUCACGUCCGACUGGGUAGGUGCCCGGGAUGCCCUGUUGGAGGAGGAGAUUGGUCAGCUGAACCCCUUCGCGCAGUACUUCCCACCUCCACCCCCGCCAGCGAGCUACCUCUGGGGCCAGCAACAGCAGCCACAACCCACGCCUGCGUCCUCCGGCACGACCGGAAAGGCGAGCACUCCAGUGACAGCUGCGUCGUUGCGGAAGGCCGCUGCCGCCGCUGCCGCCGGUGCUGCGGCGAGUGGUGGUGCCGAGGCAAGCACGAGGGGCGAUCAGGAGAGUCAGCCCUUCUACGGACCGCGUGGUGACGAGUCUCAGCGCUCGCAAGAGGAGCUGGACGACCCACUGCGCGUCGCCAUCGUCGUCUGCUGCGAGGGCAAUGCCUUCCUCUUCCAGGCUUCUGCCUCCGAGUACACGCUGGGCAUGUCAGUGCAGGCGGUUCAAACGCUUGCGAUGUACUUGGCACCCAUUCCGCGCGGCAACUGAAGCGUUGAAGAGGGGGGGCAAGGGGGAGGGGGAGUGGACGCCAUGGGGAUUGACGCGAUGCGCGAUGCGCGUGGCGGUGGUCGCUGUGGAGGUGGGCAAGGGAGGAGAGGGAGGACGUGGCACGACCACGGCGCACCUCGCCGCUGCUCUCCUUGCUUCACAGUGGACACGUGGCACCGAUGUAUUUCUCCCCCUCCCCCCACGAGCCUUUCCGUCGCGGUUCUCCACCCAUUUGACUCUCUGUCCGAUGUGCGCCGAUGUCGUGUGCUUCUUCCUUGAUAUUCUCGAUUCUCGUAGUGCCGAAGGUCUUGGGCGCUCGCGCGUAUUGCCUUUGAGCAGCUCUCCUCGCCCCCCCCUCCCCCCACUUGUUUGUUCUUUGCGGUUGUUGCUGCGCAUCGGUGCAUGAGAAUGCACAUGCGUCCGAGAUGGCGCACCCACGCGCACCUCGCUCGCUCGGGUUCUGAUUCUUCACGUGCGUGUGCUUGCGUGCAGCAGGACGGAUGAUGGUGAUGGUGAUGAGGUGCGUACAAUCCCGAACUUCG
rnacentral:misc_RNA from 1 species